UGGGAACAUACCCUUUGGUUUGGAAUAACUCAGGGAAACUUGAGCUAAUACCGGAUAAGCCCGUAAGGGGAAGGAUUUAUCGCCGAAGGAUUGGCCCGCGUCCGAUUAGCUAGUUGGUGAGGUAAUGGCUCACCAAGGCGACGAUCGGUAGCUGGUCUGAGAGGAUGAUCAGCCACAUUGGGACUGAGACACGGCCCAAACUCCUACGGGAGGCUGCAGUGGGGAAUAUUGGACAAUGGGCGCAAGCCUGAUCCAGCCAUGCCGCGUGAGUGAUGACGGCCCUAGGGUUGUAAGGCUCUUUCACCCACGACGAUAAUGACGGUAGUGGGAGAAGAAGCCCCGGCUAACUUCGUGCCAGCAGCCGCGGUAAUACGAAGGGGGCUAGCGUUGUUCGGAUUUACUGGGCGUAAAGUGCACGUAGGCGGAUCUUUAAGUCAGGGGUGAAAUGCCGGAGCUCAACUUCGGAACUGCCUUUGAUACUGGAGAUCUUGAGUUCGGGAGAGGUGAGUGGAACUGCGAGUGUAGAGGUGAAAUUCGUAGAUAUUCGCAAGAACACCAGUGGCGAAGGCGGCUCACUGGCCCGAUACUGACGCUGAGGCGCGAAAGCGUGGGGAGCAAACAGGAUUAGAUACCCUGGUAGUCCACGCCGUAAACGAUGGAUGCUAGCCGUUAGGCAGCUUGCUGCUUAGUGGCGCAGCUAACGCUUUAAGCAUCCCGCCUGGGGAGUACGGUCGCAAGA
rnacentral:rRNA from 1 species